rnacentral:tRNA from 1 species
CACUAAGAAGCUUUCAU